UUCCAUCUCAAUUGAAAUCCUCGAUCGGAGGUGUAUAAUAUGGUGGUGGCCCUGUUCCAUGCUCUGCUGCUGCUGCUGCUGCUGGUGACGUUCAAGUCGGCGCUCAUCGUGGUCUUCUUCUUCGCCGCGCUGCAGCUCUUCUCCAUGGCCUUCCAUCCGCCUCCGCCUCCGCCCGGGUUUGACGCCUACCACGGCCGCUACGUCUUCGUCUACUGAAAAGCCUAGCCGAGUCUCUGUGUUCAUGUUCAUCCAUCUGUGUACUGCAGCUCACCAGACCAGCAGCAGCAGGCCAUCACCAACCGCAAGCUGCUUGGAUUGGAUGGAGGUGGUGCUGACGCUGCUGUUCAACGCCCUGCUGCUGGUGUUCAUGGUCAAGCUCUUCUUCGCCUUGUUCCACACCAAGCUCAUCGUCGUCCUCUUCUACAUCGGCGUCCUCCUCUUCGCCAUGGCCCUCUCCGGCAGAUUCCCCGGUUGAUCCACCUACUAUCACCUCUCUCAUCCACACAUCUUUGUUUUUGUCGUUUCUUCUUCCCCGUUUCGUCUUGCUUCCUAGAGACAUCAUAUCCUGGCGAUCAGAGGACCCAAUCCAUGCAGGUGAAUCUGCUUAUCCCUUGUACUCAUGCUGUUGGUCCAAAUGAAUUUUGGGUUAGUCGUCGCUUCGAGAUGAAUUUGUGGUUUGUCGGUUCAAGAUGAACUUUUGAUCCAGCAAAUUUCUCCUGAAGGAGACUAGGUCUACGAGUCAAUGUAUAUAUGAAUGAAUGAUGAUUCCUGUUAUGCAUCUCCAUUUCUUUCUCUCCCCUGCACUUUGCUGCCUAACUUAAAAAGGCGCCCUCAAUCCCCCCUAAAGCCAGCCAAUUCUUCUUCUAUCACAAGGAAGACGGAAUUCCUUUCGGAAAGAACAGGGAAUGCGUAAUCUUGUCUUGUGUUCAACUCAUCAUCUCCUUUAAAAUUUCUUGCUAGCGCUCCAAGGCACCGUUAAGCUUAUCAAUCAAUUGGUUACCAUUGAUCAUCAACACUGCCAAUUUAAUACCGCUGCUAAUUAGCCACUGCCGAAAUAGACUUGUUUCACAUUUAUCACAUAUGUAUUCUACUUAUUCCUCUUUCAUUUCUCUCUUGUGUAUACUCUGAAUGUUCAUCUGCAGGCUGAGUUGGGAAAACCAAGCCUUGUUCAUCCCAACAAAGGGAAAGUCUCCAUUUCAUUUGACUGUAGCCCAACUGCUGUGCCAUCGUUCCAGGUAGGCGAGCAGUACCUUGUGGAUGCUACCUCGGAGGAAGAGGAAGAUGGACUCUGCAGUUUCAGUACGUGUCAGUUAACAAGCAUGGCCAGAUGUGUGGGUUGACAUUGACCAAGAGGGGAGCCAUCUCUCAUGGUGUCCGUCCCAAGCAUGCCAGUAAGCAGCUCCUGCUGCCCUGCUGGCUGCCCCCUGCAUUUUUGCUC